rnacentral:rRNA from 1 species
UACGUAGGGUGCAAGCGUUGUCCGGAAUUAUUGGGCGUAAAGAGCUCGUAGGCGGUCUGUCGCGUCGGAUGUGAAAAUCCAGGGCUCAACCCUGGACCUGCAUUCGAUACGGGCAGACUAGAGUUCGGCAGGGGAGACUGGAAUUCCUGGUGUAGCGGUGAAAUGCGCAGAUAUCAGGAGGAACACCGGUGGCGAAGGCGGGUCUCUGGGCCGAUACUGACGCUGAGGAGCGAAAGCGUGGGGAGCGAACAGG